CUAUUUAGACUUCAACGCGUACGCAAGCUUCACGUUUGUUGCUCCGGCCAAUAGCUUGGGCGGCUUGUUUUGUAUUUACUUUUGGCUUGUAAGAUCUCAUAACUGACCAGGCCGGCAGCCUCUUGACCUUUAACGUGCGUUCAGCUUGCGUGUGUGUGUGUGAGUGUGAAAAUCUGUUAUUAUAUUUCUGCAGCUGUAAUAUUAGCGUAUGUAAAUUUAUGCGCUAAAAAUGAGAUCAUUUGUUGAUAAGAGAGUUGGGGAAACACUUCGGGGGAACUGGUCGCUGGUACUUCGAUGAUGAUUUUUGCUCUUGUUGUUGUGAUUUGAUUGGUGCCACCACUUGCUGCAGCUCGUUAUUGUUGUAGUUACUGUUACUAUUGUUGCUGCCUGUCUAUUACUGUUACUUCAAGUUGCUGUUGUCGGAGUUGACUGCGUUAUAGUUUUUUCUUUAUUUUCGUUGUAAAAUCGGUCAAUGGAAACGGGCUUGUAAGCAGGUGCAACUAGCUCCAGUGAAAAGACCAAGACCAAGCGACCAACUGCAACUCGCAACUCCGUGGAACCAAACAUGUCACUAAAGAAGGAAACGCCUUCGGAUGUGAUGUUGCAUUUGGCGGCAUUGCGAGGAGAUGCAAUGGAGUUGCGUCGAGUGCUGGACACCGGCAAAGUUCAUGUGGAUGUAAAAUA